GGCUAGAUCCAUGAAAGCAGGGGGACGUCGUGUUCUCCCUCCCUGCCAGCAUCACCGCUCCUGUUUUCCUGUGGCUCUUUGUCUUACCACGUGGCCAUCAUCACCACGAGGCGGAUGAAACCCACUGCCAUCAAAUCUGGUUUCUUCCAGGUAUGGUUCUUGCAUACUGCAAGGAGAAAGUUGUAGAGACUUCAAUUCUUUUGCUUUUUCAGGGAAAGAAAGGAAGCUCCUGGGUGCUGGGAAGGAGCCUGUGUGAUCAUGCAGUCAGCUGUGAUCUGCACUCCCUUGAUGGCUGUGAUAUUCACAAAGAGACUAGCACAUAGUCUUCCUAGGGAGGAAUUCUCUUUUAGGGCCACCUCUAAGGAUUCAUCAUUUGGCAGUUCUUGAUCUCUGAAAGAAGAACAAAGCCCAUACAAACUGCUGUUCUGUCCUUCCCUGUGGCUGACAUGUGGUCAUCCUCAGCAUGAGGGCAGUAAUACAGCUGAAUUAACAGAGAGUUUGUCUGUACCACAGUGACAGAUAUUCCUGUCUGGAUUAUGGGAAAAGUGAUUUCAGAGAAUGUGUCUCGCCUGCUGAAAACAAGAUUUUGUGAAAAAUGGACAGUCAAACUGAGCAGCAGCCUCCUCUCAAUCCCUUAUUUGAGCCAUCAUUUCCAGAAGUACUUGUAGUGAAUGGGAGUGAAUUUAGAGGGGCAG